UUCUUAUACAAUAUUUAUAAGUAAAAUUUGCUCCAUGUUAAUAAUAAAUAGCCGCAGAAUAUUUACUGUGCUAAGGUAGCAUAAUCAUUUACCUUUUAAUUAAAGGCUUGAAUGAAAGAUUUAACAAUUAAAUUACUUUUUUAUCAAUAUUCCUUAACUUUAAUUAAACAUAAAAAUGUGUUUAUUCAAUAAAAAGACGACAAGACCCUAUUGAACUUUACUAAAGUUUAGCUGGGGAAGCUAAUUAAAUAUAAUUUUAAUUAAAAUUAAAAAAAAA
rnacentral:rRNA from 1 species